rnacentral:rRNA from 1 species
CGGACGGGGGAGUAAUGUCUGGGAAACUGCCCGAUGGAGGGGGAUAACUACUGGAAACGGUAGCUAAUACCGCAUAACGUCGCAAGACCAAAGAGGGGGACCUUAGGGCCUCUUGCCAUCGGAUGUGCCCAGAUGGGAUUAGCUAGUAGGUGGGGUAACGGCUCACCUAGGCGACGAUCCCUAGCUGGUCUGAGAGGAUGACCAGCCACACUGGAACUGAGACACGGUCCAG